UACGUGCGUAAAUCCCGACUUCUGGAAGGGACGUAUUUAUUAAAUAAAAGGCCGACCGGACUCUGUCCGACCCGCGGUGAACCAUGAUAACUUCACAAAUCGCAUGGCCUUGCGCCGGCAAUGUUUCAUUCAAAUUUCUGCCCUAUCAACUUUCAAUGGUAGGAUAAAGGCCUACCAUGGUGGUAACGGGUGACGGAGGAUUAGGGUUCAAUUCCGGAAAGGGAGCCUAAAAAA
rnacentral:rRNA from 1 species